rnacentral:rRNA from 1 species
CCUACGGGUGGCAGCAGUAGGGAAUCUUCCGCAAUGGACGAAAGUCUGACGGAGCGACGCCGCGUGAGCGAAGAAGGUCUUCGGAACGAAAAGCACUGUUGUCGGGGAAGAACAAGUACGGUAGGAAAUGGCCGUACCUUGACGGUACCCGACGAGAAAGCCACGGCUAACUAAAUGCGAGCAGCCGGGGUAAUACGUAGGUGGCAAGCGUUGUCGGGAAUUAUGGGGCUUAAAGCGCGCGCAGACGGUCCUUUAAGUCUGAUGUGAAAUCGUGCGGUUCAACCACAAGCGGUGAUUGGAAAAUGGGGGUCUUGAGUGCAGAAUAGGAAAGCGGGAUUACAGGUUUAUGGGUGUAAUGCGUAGAGAUGUGGGGGGACUCGUGUGGCGAAAGAGAGUUUCCUGUCUGUUACUGACGCUGAGGCGCUAAAGAGUGGGAAGCAAACAGGAUUAGAAACCCGGUAGUC